AUUCCUACGGGAGGCAGCAGUGAGGAAUUUUGCGCAAUGGCCGCAAGGCUGACGCAGCAACGCCGCGUGGGUGAUGAAGGCCUUCGGGUCGUAAAGCCCUGUCAGGUGGGAAGAAAGGCCUGGAGAGGAAAGGUUUCAGGUUUGACGGUACCACCAGAGGAAGCACCGGCUAACUCCGUGCCAGCAGCCGCGGUAAUACGGAGGGUGCGAGCGUUAUUCGGAAUUACUGGGCGUAAAGCGCGUGUAGGCGGGGGGACAAGUCUGAUGUGAAAGCCCUGGGCUUAACCUGGGAAGCGCAUUGGAAACUGUUUUUCUUGAGUACUGGAGAGGAAGGGGGAAUUCCCGGUGUAGAGGUGAAAUUCGUAGAGAUCGGGAGGAAUACCAGUGGCGUAGGCGCCCUUCUGGACGGUAACUGACGCUGAGACGCGAAAGCGUGGGGAGCAAACAGGAUUAGAUACCCUGGUAGUCCACGCUGUAAACGAUGAUCACUAGGUGUAGCGGGUACUCAUUCCUGCUGUGCCGCAGCUAACGCGUUAAGUGAUCCGCCUGGGGAUUACGGUCGCAAGACUAAAACUCAAAGGAAUUGACGGAAU
rnacentral:rRNA from 1 species